GACAGAGGUGCCGAGCGUUUAGGCGGAAUCACUGGGCUUAAAGCGUGUGUAGGCGGGUCGUUAAGUGUCUUGUGAAAUCCCACCGCUCAACGGUGGAACCGCUGGGCAUACUGGCGAUCUUGAGCAGUCCAGGGGCGAGCGGAACAAGCGGUGGAGCGGUGAAAUGCGUAGAUAUCGCUUGGAACGCCGGACGGUGAAAACAGCUCGCUGGGGACUCGACUGACGCUGAGACACGAAAGCCCAGGGGAGCGAACGGG
rnacentral:rRNA from 1 species